UGGCGUAAACCCGUAAGUCGUGAUCGUCAUCGAUCGAUUGACCAACAAAAAUGCUUGGCUUAAAAAACGGGGUUUAAUUUUACCAUGUUCAGUGGCGUAAUUAGAACUUCUUAUCCAUGGCAAAAUAUCUCACCGCAUAGAGAGCGCCACAGCAGCGAUCAAGACCAAAAUUGUCACAUCAAAAAAAAUGUUAUGCUGAAUUUUGGUCUGAAAUAUCUUGAUAACUUAGCAUAAACGUAAAAGCAAAAAAGCCAAUAAGGUUACGAGUAACAAAAGAUUCGUAAAAUUUGUAUGGUGUAAUCUCCCCUCCAAAUCAAUAAUUAUCGCUAGCCCUAGCCAUUUUCACAAUUCGAGUUUGACCUAAUUUACACGUUAUCUGUUUUCAGACAUAUAAAGUAGAGGGGUUAAUAAUUUAAAAUGGUUUUAAAUAAAGCUUAAAUGAUUCAACAAUGAUGAAAAAAAAAGCUCUCCUAGGACAAUGGGGAUGGGUGCAGCCACUGUUGUAGGUGAGAAGUUGGAAAGGUAGGAUACAUAAAGGAAUUU